rnacentral:rRNA from 1 species
UACAUAGCUUAAUGAGGGGAACUCAGGGAACUGAAACAUCUAAGUACCUGAAGGAAGAGAAAGAAAUUCGAUUCCGUAAGUAGCGGCGAGCGAACGCGGAUUAGCCCAAACCAAUAAAGUUUUCUUUAUUGGGGUUGCGGACAUAUCAUAACGAAGAGGUAUCGUAAUUGAAGAGGUUUGGAAAGACCCACCACAGAAGGUAAUAGUCCUGUAUGUUAAACGAGAAGACUUUAGAUAUGAUCCAGAGUACCACGGGACACGUGAAACCCUGUGGGAAGCAGGAGGGACCACCCUCCAAGGCUAAAUACUACCUAGUGACCGAUAGCGUAUAGUACCGGGAGGGAAAGGUGAAAAGAACCCCG